CGUGGGUAACCUGCCUUAUAGUGGGGGAUAGCCUUUCGAAAGGAAGAUUAAUACCGCAUAAGAUUGUAGUAUCGCAUGAUAUAGCAAUUAAAGGAGCAAUUCGCUAUAAGAUGGACCCGCGUCGCAUUAGCUAGUUGGUGAGGUAAUGGCUCACCAAGGCGACGAUGUGUAGCCGACCUGAGAGGGUGAUCGGCCACAUUGGGACUGAGACACGGCCCAGACUCCUACGGGAGGCAGCAUG
rnacentral:rRNA from 1 species